UACGUAGGGGUCGAGCGUUGUCCGGAAUUACUGGGCGUAAAGGGCGCGUAGGCGGCCUGUUAAGUCGAACGUGAAAUCCCCGGGCUCAACCCGGGAACUGCGUCCGAUACUGGCAGGCUUGAAUCCGGGAGAGGGAUGUGGAAUUCCAGGUGUAGCGGUGAAAUGCGUAGAUAUCUGGAGGAACACCGGUGGCGAAGGCGGCAUCCUGGACCGGUAUUGACGCUGAGGCGCGAAAGCCAGGGGAGCAAACGGG
rnacentral:rRNA from 1 species